CUCAUGUCAUUAUGGGCAAUGAGGCUCAGCUGUUCUGGGUGUUCUGCCUCUUUCUGGUUAUGUGCAGGGAAGAAGAGCUGUGGGAGCACAGAAAGUGCUGUGGCUUGGGGGAAGGCAGUAGAUAUGGAAAGAGAAGAAAGUCAUUUUUCUCCAGAGCUACAGAGGCUUGCUAUUGAGUUCCCGCAAGGCUGAGUGAAGGCUCUGUUGCUACCUAGUACUGCACUGCAAGCAAGACAAGGGAUGAAGAAAAUUUACCUGCAGUUAUCAGUUCUGUCACUGCAGACCCUACCUUGUGGACUGUAGAGAAACUAACAAAUGAAAGCUGCAAGAAGCCUCUCCUACUGUUCAUGCAUCAACACAAAUAUCUGAGCCAGCAGCAAACUGAGCCGGUGUCUGUGGCCUGGUGCUUAUUAAUGCAGUCCCCUGGGUCAGGUGAGCUCAAAAUCACUUUAUUUCUGCAUCUGUCUGUCAAGCUUGUUUAAAGGAGCAAGUACCUCUCCAACUUCUUGUGGUCAUGGUUCUUUUGGUUGACAGGUCACUUGAAAUGAGAAUGUCCUCAACCAUACCUUGUGAGUAAAGUUUUAUAGAAAAGUGUUCAGGUG
ensembl:lncRNA